rnacentral:rRNA from 1 species
UACGUAGGGUGCGAGCGUUAAUCGGAAUGACUGGGCGUAAAGCGUGCGCAGGCGGUUUGCUAAGACCGAUGUGAAAUCCCCGGGCUUAACCUGGGAACUGCAUGGGUGACUGGCAGGCUAGAGUAUGGCAGAGGGAGGUGGAAUUCCACGUGUAGCAGUGAAAUGCGUAGAGAUGUGGAGGAAUACCGAUGGCGAAGGCAGCCUCCUGGGCCAAUACUGACGCUCAUGCACGAAAGCGUGGGGAGCAAACAGG